AGCUGCAAAAUCUGUUUCUACCCCCACAACUUGUUCUACAGAAACCAGGUAUUGGAAAAAUUAAAGGGGAAAGGACAGCAGCACCAUUUGCAGAGCCAAGCCAACCUCAAAUGAGACAAGGACCAUUCUUCUUGCUUUUGCAACCUCUGAAGAACAAGUCUGAGCACAUCUCCUGUCUGGCAUCUCAAUGCAGUUACCUUCUGUGUAGCGUGGGCCUCACUGCCGCAUUUAACCUGACACCUGGAGAGGAUCCAGGGCGAGAUUUGACCGCGAAGGGGAGUAUGACAUGGAGCUACAGGUUCUUCUUGACUUCUCAUUGAAACCCCUCUGCCAGCCAUCCCAAGAAUAUACCCUAACGGCUGUGAUUUAUUACUGUGUUAUCAUGCCUGUCUGCCUCAUUACAGACUUUGGAUUUUAUCAGGCAGCUUGUCCUCUAGUGUCUGGUAACCAAUUACCGUGGUCUGCAAAGAAGCCUGAAGUACUUUGCCAAACACUGCUAAUAAACUGGGAAAGAGCCUGAGCACAGCUUCAGGUUGCCUUAAGGAAAUUCCAGAGAGCACUUUCCACUUUAUUGUGUAGUUCACAGUAUGAACUGGGAAUUAUCUCAAAGAGUCAUUCUCUACACAGAGCUAAACUCCCCUUUAAAGGUUGUGCCACACUGGAUUACUGCACACGGACUUGCCUCCAUCCAAAGGCUGCUGAACUCAGUAGGAGUCUUUCAGAUGACAACAGGACUUAGUCCACAGUCUAAAACUAAAUACUUUAGAAGAAAAUGAAAAAAAAAAUAAAAAUCCUGUAUUCCUUUUUCUACCUAAAAGAAAAAUCUUAAGCUGGUAGGAAAAAUCAGAAUGGACAAGUGCCUGCACUAGAAUAGAAGGGUGACAUGUGCCUGUUGCUCCAUGCUUGUGAAAAAUAUUUUAUCUUAAAGGGUAAAAUAAUCAAUAGUGCUUUCUGUGAGUCCUCUGCAGCAAAGUGAAUGUCACAUGAAUCUAUAGUAUGUGCUCUGUUGUGCAUUUAGUAUUUUCUUUUGGGGCUGGCUCACUGUAAUGUUCCAAGGAAGAACGAGCUGACAUCCGUACCGCAGAAGUGACCAGCAGCCACCCUCCCUCAGCCAAAAAACUCUCUUAAUCCUGCUCAUUUCUCCAGCACUUCAAAGGGCUUCACCUGUGGUCUGCCUGCUUCAGAUGGCUUGGAUUGUAUCAGCGUGAAAGAUGCAACAAGCCACCAAAGAAGACCAGGAGUUUGUGUGGGAGAGAAAGAGAGAAAAAUCUUAAAAGACAGCUGUGGAAGAAGUCUAGAGAAGAUCUAUUCGUUGUCAGUCCAGCCUUCGGGUGUGACUCCCAAGGAGUGGGACUCUGCCACUGCAAAGGGGUUUGGCUCACCCGUACAGCGUUUUGCUUCGCUGGCAAGCAUCGGUGCAACCGGCAGGACCCUCUGGGCAGCAUUUGUCAGGAAACAGGGAAAGAGGAUCUUAUUCAGGAAUAUUUUAGGCAUGCUUUAUUAAAGCAGAGAACAUUUCAUCCACCUCUGCUUAACCUUGCUCAGGGCCCCCCAAAAGGCAAUAGAGCCCCUACAGUGAGGUCUGUUUAUUUUCUGCUCAGUUGGAAAGCAAAGGUCCUAUUACCGUUAAAGGGAGUUACAAGUAUUCAUCAAAGAAAGAAAUGACCCAUAAAGGCAGUUAAGUUAGUUUUAUUCCCGCUGCAUAAGUCAACCUCUUUUCUAUAUAUAAAAUGAUGGGGUUAGAAAAGGAUAUUCAUCAGGCAGUCCACUGAUUUGAUUGGCUGCAC